rnacentral:rRNA from 1 species
AUGACUUUCUGCUCCUCUACAGCGGCCGCGGGCGCCGCGUCGUGCAGCGCAACCACGACCAUCCGGAGUUCGAGGCAAUGUUUUGGUAUGCCGCCCUGUCAGAAUCCGGGGACGAAGUCUGCCUCCACCACUUCCACGGCGGCAGCCUCCGCGCCAACACGACGUACCCGUACCUCCGCUGGACCAACAGCAUCAGCGUCGACGACACCGGAAAUGUCACCACGAUGA